GACGAACGCUGGCGGCGUGCUUAACACAUGCAAGUCGAACGGAAAGGCCCUGCUUUUGUGGGGUGCUCGAGUGGCGAACGGGUGAGUAACACGUGAGUAACCUGCCCUUGACUUUGGGAUAAAUUCAGGAAACUGGGGCUACUACCGGAUAGGAGCUCCUGCUGCAUGGGGGGGGUUGGAAAGUUUCGGCGGUUGGGGAUGGACUCGCGGCUUAUCAGCUUGUUGGGGGGGUAGUGGCUUACCAAGGCUUUGACGGGUAGCCGGCCUGAGAGGGCGACCGGCCACAUUGGGACUGAGAUACGGCCCAGACUCCUACGGGACGCAGCAGUGGGGAAUGUUGCCCCAUGGGCGGAAGCCUGAUGCAGCCACGCCGCGUGCGGGAUGACGGCCUUCGGGUUGUAAACCGCUUUCAGCAGGGGCGAAGCUUGUGGUGACGGUACCUGCAGAAGAAGCACCGGCUAACUACGUG
rnacentral:rRNA from 1 species